rnacentral:rRNA from 1 species
UACAGGGGGUGCAAGCGUUGCUCGGAAUUACUGGGCGUAAAGCGUGCGCAGGCGGUUUUGCAAGUCGGGGGUGAAAACCCGGGGCUCAACCCCGGAAUUGCCUCCGAAACUGCAAGACUUGAGUACGAGAGAGGGUCGCGGAAUUCUUGGUGUAGAGGUGAAAUUCGUAGAUAUCAGGAAGAACACCAGUGGCGAAAGCGGCGACCUGGCUCGAUACUGACGCUCAUGCACGAAAGCGUGGGGAGCAAACAGG